CCAGACUCCUACGGGAGGCAGCAGUGGGGAAUAUUGCACAAUGGGGGAAACCCUGAUGCAGCGACGCCGCGUGAGUGAAGAAGUAUUUCGGUAUGUAAAGCUCUAUCAGCAGGGAAGAGAAUGACGGUACCUGAGUAAGAAGCCCCGGCUAACUACGUGCCAGCAGCCGCGGUAAUACGUAGGGGGCAAGCGUUAUCCGGAUUUACUGGGUGUAAAGGGAGCGUAGACGGCAGUGCAAGUCUGGAGUGAAAGGCGGGGGCUCAACCCCCGGGACUGCUCUUGGAACUGCGUGGCUGGAGUGCAGGAGGGGCAGGCGGAAUUCCUGGUGUAGCGGUGAAAUGCGUAGAUAUCAGGAGGAACACCGGUGGCGAAGGCGGCCUGCUGGACUGCAACUGACGUUGAGGCCCGAAAGCGUGGGGAGCAAACAGGAUUAGAUACCCCCGUA
rnacentral:rRNA from 1 species